GUGCCUUUUGGAUGAACAGGUCCCUAGCAUGUACUACCUUAUUAUUACUGUGAGCUGAUAUUGUGUUUUUAGCUAAUCAUUAAGGUUGGGAUGUUU
rnacentral:snoRNA from 1 species